AAAUGUGGUCCUUACCGUGGGCGCCGCCAUGUUCCACAGCCGGAAGAGGUUCGCAUUUUAUAGUCUUCGGGGAAAACCGGCUGUGGAGAAGUAAAUAGGGCCCGGCGCUGAGCCUCAGAGUGACCGUGGUUACGUCUCCUUUGCAGACACUUUCCGGGACGAGGUGAAAUGGCGAGAGUCUUGUAUCGGUGGACGUAGACGGUAGACAGUUCGCGUGCGUUUCCUUCGCCUACUUGGCCUACAUGCUUUCUGCUCGUGCAGCGAUGUUUCCCCUCGACAGGCCUUGGCAAUGCCGUCAGAAUCGGUUUUUCAGUGGUGUUUGACCCCUCCGACGCUCCGUCGCCUAAGAGACUCACGGCGUUCUCCGUGCCCGCCCAUCCUCCGCGGACGCCCACUGCCAUGGCGACUCUGCUGAGCCCUGUCCUGCGCCGGCUCCGCGGGCUCCGCAGGCUUCCCGGCCUCCCGCGGCUUGCGGCAGAAAUGCCUCUCCGGGCCAGGAGCGACGGCGCCGUCGCCGGCCCGCUGUACUCGCACCACAUCCCCACCUCCCCGCUGCAGAAAGCGCUGCUGGCCGCCGGCUCCGCGGCGAUGGCGCUCUAUGACCCCUAUCGCCACGGGAACGUCCCCGGAUUUCGACAUCCACCCUCGACCUGGGCAAGCUCCAGAGCCUGCCAGAAGGCUCCCUGGGUCGCGAGUAUCUCCGUUUCCUGGAUGUGAAUCACAUUUCACUUGGACACCUUUCUUGGCCACAUGUGGCAAGCGGCUGCCAUACUGGACAGUGCAAGUCUAGGAGACAUUAAUACUCACAUGCACUAAACAUCAAGGUACAAUUAUUCUGAGUGCCACUAAGAGGUGAAUGAUGCUUCCAGAGACCAUAACAUGAACCCACUUGGUCUGUAGGUUAGGGGCGGCCUCUCUGUGGUGGGGGGAAGGGAUGGGGGACAGGGGACACUUAACCCAGGUCAUGAAGGAUAAGUAGGAGUUAUCACAGUGAAGAUAGGGGUAGUGGGAGAGAGCACCCCAAGCUGGGAGCAGCUUGUGCUAGGAUCAGGGUUUUUGGGGCUUCAUUUUUUAUUUUUAGAGACAAUGUCUUGCUUGAGUGCAGUGGUAUAGUCAUAGCUCCCUGUAACCUCAAACUCCUGGGCUCAAACAAUUUUCCUGUCCCAGCCUCCUGAGUAGCUAGGACUAUAGGCACACACCACCACACCCGACUAAUUUUUUUUUUUUUUUUUCAAGACAGAGUCUCUGUCACCCAGGCUGGAGUGUGCAGUGGUGCAAUCUCGGCUCACUACAACCUCCGCCUCCUAGGUUCAAGUGACUCUCCUGUCUUAGCCUCCCGAGUAGCUGGGACUAUAGGUGUGCACCACCACACCCAGCUAAUUUUUGUAUUUUUUAGUAGAGACAGAGUUUCCCUGUAUUGGUCAGGUUGGUCUUGAACUCCUGAUCUCAGGUGAUGUGCCCACCUUAGCCUCCCAAAGUGCUGGGAUUUACAGGCAUGAGCCUCGGCCCCCGGCUAGUCGCCAGAGUUUUCUGGUAGGUUAUGAGUUUGGUGAGAGUUGUGACAGUGUCAGAGACAGACUGGCAAAUCGGGCCCUGAGAACCAUCAGGAAGGGUUCUAGGGGGGGCUUAUGGUUGUCAGAGGGUCUCCCCAGACACCCGAGCACCCACCCGCUUCGUGGAUGAUGAGGAGCUAGCGUAUGUGAUUCAGCGAUACCGGGAGGUGCACGACAUGCUUCACACCCUGCUGGGAAUGCCCACUAACAUCCUGGGGGAGAUCGUGGUGAAAUGGUUUGAGGCUGUCCAGACUGGCCUGCCCAUGUGCAUCCUGGGUGCUCUCUUUGGACCGAUCCAACUCAGUGCUCAGAGCCUGCAAGUGCUGGUCUCGGAGUUGAUCCCAUGGGCCGUUCAGAACGGGCGCAGAGCCCCGUGUGUCCUCAACCUGUACUAUGAGCGGCGCUGGGAGCAGUCCCUGAGGGCUCUACGGGAGGAGCUGGGCAUUACGGCACCACCC